rnacentral:rRNA from 1 species
GGGGAAUAUUGGGCAAUGGACGCAAGUCUGACCCAGCAACGCCGCGUGAAGGAAGAAGGCUUUCGGGUUGUAAACUUCUUUUAAGGGGGAAGAGUAGAAGACGGUACCCCUUGAAUAAGCCACGGCUAACUACGUGCCAGCAGCCGCGGUAAUACGUAGGUGGCAAGCGUUAUCCGGAUUUACUGGGUGUAAAGGGCGUGUAGGCGGGACUGCAAGUCAGAUGUGAAAACUAUGGGCUCAACCCAUAGCCUGCAUUUGAAACUGUGGUUCUUGAGUGAUGGAGAGGCAGGCGGAAUUCCGUGUGUAGCGGUGAAAUGCGUAGAUAUACGGAGGAACACCAGUGGCGAAGGCGGCCUGCUGGACAUUAACUGACGCUGAGGUGCGAAAGCGUGGGGAGCAAACA